rnacentral:rRNA from 1 species
GCACAAGCGUGGAGCAUGUGGUUUAAUUCACGAUACGCGAAGAACCUUACCUGGCCUUGACAUACUAAAAAGCUUUUAAGAGAUUAGAGUGUGCUAGCUUGCUAGAAUUUAGAUACAGGUGCUGCACGGCUGUCGUCAGCUCGUGUCGUGAGAUGUUGGGUUAAGUCCCGCAACGAGCGCAACCCUCGUGUUUAGUUGCUAACAGUUCGGCUGAGAACUCUAAACAGACUGCCUACGCAAGUAGGAGGAAGGUGAGGACGACGUCAAGUCAUCAUGGCCCUUACGGCCAGGGCUACACACGUGCUACGAUGGGGUAUACAAAGAGCAGCGAUACGGUGACGUGGAGCAAAUCUAGAAAAUGCCUCUCAGUUCGGAUUGUAGUCUGCAACUCGACUACAUGAAGUUGGAAUCGCUAGUAAUCGUAGAUCAGCAAUGCUACGGUGAAUACGUUCCCGGGUCUU